rnacentral:rRNA from 1 species
UACGUAGGGAGCAAGCGUUGUCCGGAAUCAUUGGGCGUAAAGCGCGCGUAGGUGGCUUCAUAAGUCCGUUGUGAAAGUCAAAGGCUCAACCUUUGAACGCCGAUGGAUACUGUGGAGCUAGAGUACGGAAGAGGCGAGUGGAAUUCCUGGUGUAGCGGUGGAAUGCGCAGAUAUCAGGAGGAACACCAAUAGCGAAGGCAGCUCGCUGGGACGUUACUGACACUGAGGCGCGAAAGCGUGGGGAGCGAACAGG